AAAAAUUCUCAAUUGACUCUUCCUCUGAAGCUUUUCGUUUUCGCGUUCCUCUCAAUCUGCGGAAACUUAAAGCUUCAGACACAUUUCAAUUUCAAUUCAGAUUCUCAGUUUCUGGCAACAAAUCUCGGAAUCUCCAUCUAAUCUUCUUCUCUUCGCUUUUGAAUCUCGUUUUUCCCUCCAGAAUUUCACGAUCUUCACCUCUCUGUUGUUCAUUUCGGUUUUGAUUUGGGGAUGGGAACCCCGGAAUUCCCUAAUCUCGGGAAGCAUUGCAACUUGGAAGAUUGUAAGCAGAUCGAUUUCUUGCCCUUUACUUGCGAUUGCUGUCGCCAGGUCUUUUGUUUGGAGCAUCGUAGCUACAAUAGACAUAGUUGUCCGAAAGCAGAUAGACGGGAUGUCACCGUCGUCAUUUGUCCGCUGUGUGCCAAAGGAGUUCGUCUCGUCCCAGAUCAAGAUCCCAACAUUACAUGGGAGAUACAUGUUAACACUGAAUGUGACCCAUCAAAUUAUGAAAAAGUCACAAAGAAGAAAAAAUGCCCUGUGCCUGGCUGUAGGGAGUCGUUAACGUUUUCAAACACGAUCAAGUGUCGGGACUGCUUGGUAGACCAUUGUUUGAAACACCGUUUUGGUCUCGACCAUAAGUGUCCUGGUCCGAAGAAACCCGAACCAGCAGGCUUUUCUUUUGUUGGUGUUUUAAGUAGAAGUAAACAAGAAGAGAAUGGGUCUAAGAAAGCAUUGCCUACUACAGCUUCCUCUAAUUGGACAACAGCCCUCCUUAAUGUAGCCUCGUCUUUUAAAGCCUCAUGGAAAGCAACAGGCAACAACAGCAAUGGAAAUGGACAUGUUGAGCAAUGUCCACAAUGCAGUGCUAAGUUUUCGAUGGUUUCGUCUCUAGUCGAGCAUGUAAAAAAAGUCCAUGAAAGCGGUGUCAAUCGACCUGGGGCAAAGAAGGCAGUAAUCGAUGCGUGUCCAAAGUGUAGCAGAGGGUUCAUCGAUCCUGUUGCCCUCGUCGAGCAUAUUGAGAAGGAUCAUGGUGGUACUUCAAGAGCUUGAGAAUACGUAUCAGAAAAUCCUAUUGCCCUCCUCUAGCAUAUUGGGAGAGAUCAUGGUGGUACUUCAAGAGCUUGAGAGCAUACGUAUCAGCGUCCAAAGUGUAGCAGAGAAUUUAUCGAUCCUAUUGCCCUUGUCGAGCAUAUUGAGAGGGAACAUGGUGGUACUUCAAGAGCUUGAGCAGACGUAUUGGUGUCCAAAGUGUAGCAAAGGAUUUAUUAAUCCUAUUGCCCUCGUUGAGCAUAUUGAGAGGGAUCAUGGGAUACUUCAAGAGCUUGAGCUUUCGUAUCGGCAUCCAAAGUGUAGCAGAGGAUUCAUCGAUCCUGUUGCCCUCGUCGAGCAUAUUGAGAGGGAUCAUGGUGACACUUCAAGAGCUUGAACAUACGUAUCAAAAAAUCAUACCUGUUGUGACCGUUCACACAUCAGAAGGUACGAAUGCCAACUCGAGCAUAACUUUAAUUGUUUCAUCGAACUAUACCACGAUAGAAUAGAUCGUUGUGACUACCUUUUGCGAAGAGUCAUUGAACUUUACCGAGUGU